AUACUCUGGUUUCUCUUCAAAUCGUAUAAAUCUUUCGCCUUUUACUAAAGAUUUCCGUGGAGAGGAACAUUUAUGAGUUUCAACUAAUUUUUUGAUUCCCUGUGUAACGCGGGGCU